GUCUUUGUAGUAUNAUAGAAUACUUUGGUCUUGUAAACCGAAAAAGGAGGACCUCACUCCUCCCUAAGACU
rnacentral:tRNA from 1 species